rnacentral:rRNA from 1 species
AUGUUUUUGUUUUUUUCUUCCGUAAGAGGCACGAUUAUGCUUUUCGGGAGUGGCAUGACCUCUCAGAAAUGGAAAAAGAAUGCGUUUUUUGUUUGUUUUUCACGAGAGGCAUGGUUUUGCUCCUGCGAGAGGCACAGUCGACAGUCAUGCUCUUGCGGAAAGGAAAAAAAAUCAGGCUCCCGGUUUGAUUUUUUUGUAAAAAAAAUUUCGUUAAAAUCUAUCAACACGGGAUCUAGUUUUGAAGAUCUCGACGUGAGGAAUUCAACGGUAAAAACAGUUCAAGAUUUGGAUGCAUGGUUAAAAGAUAAAAUGUUUUGA